rnacentral:rRNA from 1 species
AGCUCUAAUAGCGUAUAUUAAAGUUGUUGCAGUUAAAAGCUCGUAGUUGAACUUUGGGUCUGGCUAGGCGGUCCUCCGUAAGGAGCGCACUGCUAGGUCGGAUCUUUCCUUCUGGCGAACUAUUGUGCUAUUCAUUUAGUGCGAUAGGGAACCAGGACUUUUACUUUGAAAAAAUUAGAGUGUUUAAAGCAAGCUUACGCUUGAAUACAUUAGCAUGGAAUAAUAAAAUAGGACUUUGGUUUUAUUUUGUUGGUUUUCAAGACCGAAGUAAUGAUUAAUAGGGUCAGUUGGGGGCAUACGUAUUGCAUCGUCAGAGGUGAAAUUCUUGGAUUGAUGCAAGACGAACAUCUGCGAAAGCAUUUGCCAAGGAUGUUUUCA